ensembl:snRNA U6 U6 spliceosomal RNA
AUUCUCACUUUGACAGCAUAUACACCAGAACUGCAAUAAUACAGAGAAGAUUAGUAUGGCCUCUAUGACAGGAUGACAUGGAAAUUCAUGAAGUAUACAAUUAUUUU